GGGCCCGACCGGAAUUGACAGGAUGGAUGAUAAGUGUGUAAGCAUGCAGCGCAUUGAGAAUACAGCGCUAUAAUCAGAGUUCUCAAAACAAUAACAGGCGAAAAUAACUACGCUCUUGCUGCUUAAUCUUAACCGAGUUAAGAUUGCCUUUGUUACACUUUAGAAGUGUAAGCGAGAUGUUUCCCGGGAGCCAUGUCUGGCGGCACCCGAUUAGGAAGCACGGAAAAGCCGGAAUAAGGAUAAAAAGCUUCGCUUUUAUCUCGAAAACUUAAGAAGCUAAGGAUUAAGCAGGAUGUUUGUGGCCAACUUGAUCUCUAAAACCAAACACAAAAUAAGCAUGUAGAAAGCGCAUCUGGUCCCAUGUUUGGACGAGAGUUCGAAUCUCUCCGGGUCCACAC
rnacentral:tmRNA from 1 species